CAUCAUCGGUGCACUAUGCUGAUGAGCCCCAAAAAGGGCGAAACAGCUAUCCACAGUUGCCGUUGUUUGAGCUU
rnacentral:hammerhead_ribozyme from 1 species